rnacentral:lncRNA from 1 species
UGCGGUACUUGUUAUGCUCGAUCUAUCCGCUGCAUUCGACACUAUCGAUCAUCCCAUCCUGAUCAAUCGGUUAGAAUACUCUUACGGCAUAACUGGCUCAGCGCUGUCAUGGAUGAGAUCCUAUCUUGAAAGUCGAACUCAACGUGUAGCAAUUGGCUCUGUAUUGUCAGAUGUAAUAAACAUUAAAUAUGGCGUUCCGCAAGGUUCGGUAUUG